rnacentral:tRNA from 1 species
GACCACGUAGCUCAGUUGGCAGAGCAUUGGGCUAGCAUUCCAAAGGUCGUAGGUUCGAUUCCCGCCGUGGUCA